UGCAAGUCGUACGAGAGUUUUUAACUCAAGUGGCGGACGGGUGAGUAACACGUAAGAAUUUGCCUUUAGGAGGGGGACAACAACUGGAAACGGUUGCUAAUACCCCAUACGCUUUCGAGUGAAACGGUUUUUCCGCCUAAAGAGAAGCUUGCGGCUGAUUAGCUUGUUGGUAAGGUAAUGGCUUACCAAGGCGACGAUCAGUAUCUGGUCUGAGAGGACGAUCAGACACACUGGAACUGAGACACGGUCCAGACUCCUACGGGAGGCAGCAGUGGGGAAUUUUCCGCAAUGGGCGAAAGCCUGACGGAGCAAUACCGCGUGAGGGAUGAAUGCCUAUGGGUUGUAAACCUCUUUUUUCAGGGAGGAAUCAAUGACGUUACCUGAAGAAUAAGCAUCGGCUAACUCCGUGCCAGCAGCCGCGGUAAUACG
rnacentral:rRNA from 1 species